rnacentral:lncRNA from 1 species
GAAUACAGGAACUCAAGAUGUGGGUUGAAAAUGGUGUGUGAAGAAGUGGUAAUAAGAGAUGAGAAAGGUGAGAUAUUUUCACAAAAAGGUGGAGGAAAAGAAGAAAGCUUAAUAAUUGAAGAAAAGUAGAAGGCUGGAAAAACUCCCUUAAAUUUGCUUGAAUGUUGUAGAAUGAUGGAAGUGGAAGGUGCCUUCAAUAGCACUUCUUGUGUAUGUAGGACAUUUUACUUCUCCUUUUCUCUCACAAGUUCUUCUUUUUCUUUCUUUUCAUUUUCCUCUCUUUCUUUUCUCUCAUUUUCUACUUUUGCUCUCUCUUCUCUUUUUGUCCUUUCUUCUUGUACUCUCUCCUCUUGUUUAUCUUGAAUGUCCUUAUUUAAACAAUGAAGCAUGUCAUUCUCAU